CCUUUAGAUACCUGUUUUCUGAGUAAAAGUCAUGGGUGUUUUCUCUCAGUUUGCAGUCGGAGAGGCUGAGCAGCGAAGCAAAAGGGACUGAAGGGCGCCGUGCCUUGCCUUGAGGUGGCUGCGGGCGGCGGAGCCCCGCAUUUCUGGGCCUGUUAGCGCGCCGGUUCCCUUGAAACCCACGGAGCCGCAGACGCGUGGUGAGGAAAAGAGGAAGGGAGCACUCGGCCCUUGCCUGGGGGCUGGUCAGAGCCGCGGACUCUUGUUUACCUCAAAGGAGAGAAGGCAGGAAGAUGCUGGGACACUGGGAGAGGCAUUGCCUGGCCUCUGGUGAAUGUCUGUCAGAGAGCAUCUGAAUUGCUGCCUGGCCUCCCAGCUUCUGACAUACCCAUCUCAGGAUUCGGCCACGGAGUACAAUGCAAUGAAUUUCCUACCUGUGCUUACUUGCUAUAUCACUGCUUGUUAAACUCUCCUGAUACCAGGAUGCCUCUGGGAAGCUAGCUGGAGUAUCACAGGAAUCAGCCGAAUGAAGAGGACAACACCUCCUCCUAAAACCAAGGUACUAGAUAUUGAAUACCGCCGAGGCAGGGAGCGGAGGAGAAGCCAGGCAAUCACGUAAGCUGGAAUUUCAAUAACUGCUGAGAGGAAGCAAUUGAGGUAGGCAUUUCCGUGCCAAUUUGGAGUGCUGAGUGACAGGCCAAAGUAACCAAUCGACGUUAGCAUCCUGAGAAAGUGAGCAUAUCCACAGCAGCUUGCAGAGACCUCUGAUUUCUCUUUCCUUCCUGCAUAUAUAAUAUUAAAUGAAGGGCUUUGUGGAAGUCAUACACAAAGGCUUUUCACUGCAAUGGAUUCAUUAACAGCACUAUAAACCUGACAACACAGAGCAACCACAGGCAAGCGAAGAUGCACUCACAUUCCCACCAGAGCGUUAAGGCAGAGGUGAAUGAAUGCGAUGGAAAGAUGACAAGAAAACAUGGACUCAGCAGUCAAGAGGACAGUGUGGGGUGGCUCACAGGAGCAGGCCACGGAGCAGCCGACCUUCAGCUUAGCCAGAGUUACUGCAUUCCUCAAGUGCCAAGUGAGGACUGCAUGCAAAGAAAAACAGGAGAAUAUCUACGCUGGGCAAGGCUGUCACUGCCAAAGCCUGUUGUUGGUAUCCCUGGAAACGAGCAAAACAAGACAAUAAAGCCAUAGGUUACAUGCAACGCUUGCUCCCCUGAGCUAUCUCUGGCCCCUGUUCAUGCUCUGUCAGCACUCUGAUUACAAGAUCUGCUAAGUGGGCAUUUGUGGUGGAGCUGCUUGCCCUUUGCCAGGUACCUGUCACUGCUGUAAUUCAGCAUAGGCUCUGUCCCCUCUGCUUUCAAAACUGUCUGGCAUGCUGGUACUCCUAGUAAAACAGGGAAACAAAUCCCCAGGUGCAUGCUGAAACUCAUCUUCUCCUGCCCUCAGCUCACCCAGCUGUGAGCACAGCUUGCGAGAACUUACCUUCAGGCUCAUGCUACACGAGCUUCUAGAUGUUACACAAGUCUUUCUCCUUUCCCAGGCUUUCAGAGAUCAAGCAAUACCUUCUAGCCUCCCCAUGGCUGUGCACACAGCAUCUGUUGUCUUUGACUGUGUGCCUACCUGCCCGGGGUUUACAGAAGAGGAGCUGAUGCCUAUUUGUAGUGGUUGGGGAGGAGCUGAAGGAAAAAGGAAAACGAGAAGGAAAAAGGAGGAGAGCCCAUCAGCACUGAUGUAGAAUAAUGCAAGUGGCAGUCUGUGCUGAUCGACUUCCACAAUUCUCUUCUGCUUUAGAUUUAAAACACAGACAUGCCUAAGCCUCUAAGUUCCCAUGCAUCUCCAAUGUGCAAGAAGCUGGGCCAGUCCCAAGGCAGCACUCCCAACUGUCAAAGACCAGGGAAGUUGGUAUCUCCUCUUUACAGGAUGAAGAAGUGGCUGAACCAGUAGAGAUCCAUAUGAUUAGCUGUGCUUCACGUUCUGUGACUUCAUAGUCAAAGUAAUAUACUAAAGGUUUUCUCAGCUUGUGUAAAAGUACUAUAAAAGAAUCAGGAGAGCCAUUCAGGGAGGAGUUGCAUGGUAUUUGGAUCAGGCACUAUCUACAAGCAAGUCAGAUAAGCUUUCAAAACUGUGAAAUGUGCAUUGCAGUUUACUGAGUUAAUCUAGAAUU